AGGAAGUUCAGUUUAUUCCGUGGCGUAGUUGGGCAGGUCGAAAAUGUGACUGUUUUUCCACAAUCCCUUCAUAUAAUCCUACAAUCUGGCAUCGUCUCAGGUCUCCAGCCUCAGACAUGCAGGGCUGCCUGUACGGAGACAGAAAUGAAGGGCAGCAGCUUUUCAUCCAUGAAGUAACAUACCUAAAGACUCCCACGGCACUGCAGGCUGAAGGCAUCCAGUAGAGGAAAGACUGGACUCAGGGGGCAUCGUCAGCAUCCAGCCUCCAGCACCCCAGAGCAGCUGGGUUUUAGGCCCAUGCCUAAGGGCCCAGUGGUGAUAUGAUUACUCUGCCAGCCACAGGACUCAAACCUACAGCCUUCAGGAUAUGGGCACAGAGUCAUAACCCACUGAGCUACAUACCAGACUGACAUGUGCUUAAUAUUGUAGAGUGUGGAAUCUGACACACACCAGCAGGGGGCGACCAGCACCAUGCAGGCCAACUGUAACUAUGGUUUCCUCACUGUCGGCUGCAAGAGUGCUAACAGGACAUGGCUGUGGAAAAGGCCUGGGGGAGGACAAAGGCUCAGCGUGCUGCUUGUGCUCUCUGUGCCCCCAAAUGUAGACAGACUGGGAGACGACUGCCCCAAGGGCAGACCACCUCCUGAGCAACCCAGCCGGAGCCAGUGGAACUGUCUAUAUCAGAGACACAAGAACAUUUUCAGUCAUAUUCUCUUUGCUAUUGCUUACAAAGAUGGUUAACAUCACUAUUUAUGGCACAUCUUCCAGUACAGAUGGUGAACUGGAGCCUAAUACAGGCAACACAGACUGGGGACUCCAUAGUUAGGAUGGGAGAACAUUGCAGGACAUACUGGUUAAUGUGGGGUUUUCUCUGGCUAUUCCGGUUUCCCCCCACAGUCCAAAAUCAUGCUGAGGCUAAUUGGAGAUUACAAAUUACCUGCAUGCGUGAGUGUAUAUAUAUAUAUACAGUGUAUACACACACACACACAUGCACACACAACGUUUUCCCAACGUUACACUGUAUCUAAGUGCUUAUUGUAGUUUCGCUGCUGCAUUUAAGUGGCUCGUGUUUGCCGGUUUAUCAUAAGCUUUGAUGGGUCUAUAUUUGUCAUUGAGAGAAAAUAACUUCCUUUUUCCCACCGUGUUUUCUGUGCACGCAGCAUUAGCCUCAGUAGCUAGUCAGAAGCAGACAGGCUACCGCAAGGCAAAGUAGGGCGUUCAAAGUAAAGUGAAGCUGAAGGCGUCCUUUGUCUUUCUCCAAGCAUAAACCCACCCAGAUGUGGGAUAAAGAGUGACAGACGACCCAUCAGGCCAUAUAGGUUCUGCAUUGCUCACUGGUCCAGGUUUUGUGCUCUUUACACCAGGUUAGGUGUCAUGCAUUGGCCUUAUGAACGAGAACCAUGACAUAUGCUACAGUACAUAUGAAGCUCACAACAUACAGUUUCUGCUGAGGCUGGAUCUCAGGGGGCCUGUUUCAGUUCUGUGGUCAUUUGGACACUAAGACCAACAAGCUGAAUUUAUCAGCAGUUUCAAGUCUUGCAGAGUUAUGAGGAAAAUAUUUUCCAUCACGUCAUUGAACAAUGAUGAUCUGCACCAAAAAUAAUUCAAAUAAAGGCCUUUUUCAGAAUCAAAUAAAAGGAACAUUUUAUUGCGUAAUAAUCAUCCAAAAUAAAGAUGGACACUCCUUUUACAGUUCAGCCAGACUACAAUGUGUGCAUAAAAAUUAAAAUCACAAUUAUAACUGAAUGAGAAAACCCCUUAUGUGUCAAAAAUGAAGUCAUGUAGGAGACAUGUAAGGUGUGCAAGUGAGUCUUGGAGGGUGGGGUUAUCUGGAUCACAUGACUUGUGGAAGUGUAGCUGAGGUCAGAGGUCACAGAGGGCUGUAGUUGACCUCUGAGUAAAUGCCAAGCAGUCGUCCUCCAUCACUUAUGGCCUGCGCCUAUGAUACAUUAUGACAGAUUAAUUAGACAUUUAUGACGUAUGAUGUCAUCUGACAGCCAAUCAGACAGUGAAGUACCUGCUUCCCAUGUGCGCCAGCAGGAAGCUGCUGUCCCUCCUCCACAGUCGUAUGAAGCACAGAUUUCUUCAGACCUAAAGUUAUUAAAUUAUUAUUACUAUUCACACAUAUGAUUAAUAC